CAUGGCCUUGGUUUGGCAGCUAAGUCUGGAUCUCCUACUUCCUGAUGGAUUUAUGGCGAUCUGACUUUGGAAUCCUCUUAGUGGUGAAUUAUCAUGAAUUAUCAUGGUAUUUGGGGAUUUUUAUCUGAUUGAUUUAGAGAUGGUCCCUUGGGCCGGUUCGGCUGAUCUUGGCCGAGAUCUAUGGGAUGGAUGCCGGUUCUGGGAAAUCUGAUUGGACCAUUCUCUUAGUUAUGAUUUAUCAUGAACUGUCAUGAAUUUUAAUUGAUUUUUGGAGCAGGUUUGCUUGGGGUCAAAAUUGCACCUGAGGGCAUAUUGGGGUCAGAUCCUUGUGUUAGGAUAUCUGAUCAUAUGUUUGUGUGCUGGAACAUAUUGUCACUUAUGAUAUUGAUCAUAAGGAAUUGCUGGUUAUCAACCUUGGUGUUGGUAAGGCAGGCCGUGUGUG
rnacentral:lncRNA from 1 species